AUAUUGAUUUAAUACAAAUAAAUCAUUAAUAUAUGCAGUCCAGCCAAUAAUGAGCUGAAAAUAUUUAUCAAUAUCAAAGAGUGAGAAAAUAAAAUGCAGCCUGACUAAAACUCAAACCAGAGACACUCAGAAUAUCAUACCUCAGCACUACCAAAAAACCCAGAACCCUUGGAAUACCAUACAGCAGCUCUACAGCUUAAACAUUUUAAGUCUCAUAUUUAUAAUCCCCAGCAUAUUGAAAUUUGUCCUUUUUCAUUGGAACACUUAUGAUUCAGUUAUGUACUAUCAUAAACAUAUAAAUAUUGGACCCUAAAAGUAACAGUUACUUACAGGGUGAAAAUAUCACAGGGUGAGAAAAAAUGUGCAGUUUGAACGGAAUCAAACCUGAAUCAGAAUAUUAUACAUGUAUGUAGGCUGUACUGACUCACUCAGCUGAGCUAUCUAGCUGGCAAUGUCUAUAAUCUAUUAUACAUGGGCAUAGAAGUCAAAGAAACAUUCAUUGAUAAUGGCCCAUUAUUAAAAGUAAAUCAUAUCAGAAACAUCCCUUGAAAAUGAUAUCAUUUAAAUUUUGACCCACAGUUAUUACCACUACCUCCUAAUAGGCCUAAUCAAACUGAGCCUGCAGAAUUUUAUAAUUUUGCUGUCUGUCAGACAUGGCAAUUUCUUAUGGGUUUCAUCUUUAUCUCCAUUUGAGGGGAUGUAACUCAUGUUUACUAAAUAGUUUGUUCUUAUCUGUUUAUCUUAGUCAUUACAGACUAUUCUAGCUGUAUAUAAACAUAAACAAAAUUCUUUUAUAUUAACAAACAGAACAUAAUAAGGUGAAAAAUUUACCAGUUGGAGAAAUUCAUCAAAUGGAUGGAGGUCCAGGAAUGAUGAAUAUGGAUAGAAAUAUUUUUUAUGCCCCCGGGCAUAUAGUGAUUGAACCGUCCGUCCGUCUGUCCGUACGAGGUUAACGUAGAACAGCAAGUUGGAUUUUUCUUAAGUUCUACCUGUACCAAUGGCUUCAAAGCUUACACACUUACUAAUCAAUACAAAGUACAUGAUCUGGGCAAGUUACAUAACUCUGGCUUUCAUAUUUACCAAGUUAUUGCCCUUUUCAGCACUUAGCAAAUGAAUAAUGGUUAACCUAAAACGGCAAGUUGAAAAUAUCUUAAGUUCUAUCUAUACUAAUGGCUUUAUAAUUUCCACACUUACUUAUCAAUACAAAGUACAUGAUAUUGCCAAGUUAUAUAACUGUGUCAUCCAUAUUUCCCAGUUAUUUCCCUUUUUCACUUUGAAAAUAGGGCCUUGUCUGGUUAACCUAUUUCGGCAAGUUGGAUUUAAUUUCUUUAAUGAUAUCUUUCAUAUUUAGUAUGUGGAUACCUUUGAUGGUCCUCUAAUUUUUUCUGGAGUAAGCGGUCUCUAAGGUCAUGGUCAAGGUCACUGGUUUAAAAAAUAAAUAUAAACAUUUUUGCUCAUACAGCCUUUAUAUUUUAUGUGAUGUCUUAGUUAAAUACAAACAUGCCAAGGGAGGUCCUCCUUCUUUGGGUGUAGUAAGGGGUCAUUUGGGUCAAGGUCAAUGUUACCAAUGUCAAGGUCACAAAUGUUAAAAAUAGAUUUUUACAGGUGUAUUGACCUUAUUCAAUAGACAGGUGUUAUUUAUAAUUGAUAGAAACAUAAACUUUGAUGGAGUUAGUGGUCAGUUGGGUCAAGGUCACCAGUGCUAAAAAUAGAUGUUUACACAUUUGCUCAUACAGCCUUUAUUAAGUGACAGAUAUAUUUUAUAUUUGGUAGGAAGAUAACUUGCAUGGUAUUCAUCUUUUUGAUUGGGGUAGGGAUCAGUGGGUCAAGGUCACUUGUGCUAAAAAUAGAUUUUUACACUUUUGCCCAUACAGCUUUUAUUUAUUGACAGAUGUAUUUCAUAUUUGGUAGGAAGAUAACUUGCAUGGUAUUCUGCCUUUGGAUGGAGUAAGGGGUCAGUUGGGUCAAGGUCACCAGUGCUAAAAAUAGAUUUUUACACUUUUGCCCAUACAGCCUUUAUUUAUUGACAGAUGUAUUUCAUAUUUGGUAGGAAGAUAACUUACAUGGUAUUCUUCUUUUGGAUAGAGUUAGGGGUCAGUUUGGUUAAGGUCACCAGUGCUCAAAAUAGAUUUUUACACUUUUGCCCAUACAGCCUUUAUUUAAUGACAGAUGUAUUUCAUAUUUGGUAGGAAGAUAACUUGCAUGAAGUUAAAUAUUUUUCAACUUCACAAGUCAGAGCAAUGACUUGGCAACUUAUAUUUUUCACAGUUACAAAAUGCCACGACUUUGUCAAGCUAUAUAACUUGUGUUUACAAUUUUUUGGCAAUUUUUCUGUCCAUUACUGAGUGACACAAUGCUUUUAUGAAUGAAAUAGUAAUUUUCAUAUUUUUUUGCUUUCAUGUUUAGAAAUGUUUCUUUAAACUGAAAGUGCAUAGUUUUGAACUUUCAAAGCUUAUUUAUCACUAUGCAAACAAUAUUUUAAUAAAAUCUGAUCUUAAUGUGACAAUCCUGCAAAAUGAGGAUCUACUUUUAUUGAGGUUUCAUCCGAAGGUGGAUGUUGUUUAGCAAAACAGUCAAUCCGUAUUAAUUUCUGAAAUGCAGCUAUAACUCUGUAUACAUUGCAAGCAAUGUAUACAAAAAUCAUCUUCUCGAAAUUGACAAAGGCAAAUGAGUUAGAUAUUUUGCAUGAAACAUUGUGUAAUGAACCUCUAGCAAGAUUGUUCAAAUUAUAGCCUUGUGGUCAAAAUUGGACCCGCCCCGGGGGUCAUUGAUUUUAACUAUGCACAUAUAGUAAAAAAUUUAAAACCUCUUGUCAGAAGGUACAAGGCUUAGAGCUUAUAUAUAUAUGGUAUAUUAUAUCAUCUAUUGGUCCUCUACCAAAGUUGUUUAAAUUAUGCCCCUAGUGCGAAAAUUGCCCUGCCCCAGAGGCAAUAGUUUUCCUUAUAUAAUUUAUAUAGUAAAAACUUUAAAAAAUCAUCUUUUCUGAAGUGACAAAGCCCAGAGAUUAGAUAUUUGGCAUGAGACUUUGCAAAGUGAACCUCUACCAAGAUUGUUCAAAUUAUAGCCCUGGGGUCAAAAUUGACCCCGCCCCGGGGGUCAUUGAUUUCACUAUGUACAUAUAGUAAAAUUUUUUUUUAAAAAUCGUCUUGUCUGAAGGUACAAAGCUUAGAGCUUUGAUGUUUGCUAUAUGAUAUCAUCAAUAGGUCGUUCAAAUUUUGCCCCUGGUGUCAAAAUUGGCCCUGCCCGGGGGCAUUGAUUUUCAUUAUGAACACAUAGUUAAAACAGAAACUUAAAACAAAUGUUUUCUGAAUUUGAGAAAGAUACAGCUUAGAUAUUUGACAUGAAACGUUGUUUGGUGGACCUGUAUCAAGAUUGUUUGAAUUAAACCCUUGGGUCAAAAUUUUGCCUUGCCUGAGGGGACAGUAACCUACUUUCUUGUCCUUUGUUGCACGGCUUUGAAAUUUGGACCUUGUGCACAGUUUUUGAUGUAACUUUGAUAUCAGGUGACCUAGAUUUUGAAGAUGUGACCUACUUUGUACAGCAAUGAAUUUUGAACCAUGUGCACAGAUUAACAUGUAAAUUCAACUUUGAUAUCAAGUGACCUAGAUUUUGACAAAGUGAUUUCCUGUCUUAUAGCAAAGUUUAAUUGUAAAGAAACAAAAAAAUCUUCUGUUCCUAAACUACUUUUUAGCGUUGUAUUAAUGUGGUGGCAUAGCAAUUUUCACAAAUGCAAUCUUAUUUGCGUUUGUUGUCUAGAGCUAUCUCUUUGUCGGUGUAAUGUUUAAACAUAAAAGCCUACUGGUAAAGAGGUAUCAGGGUAUCUUUGCAUGGCACUAGCAUUUCUAAUAUAUUAUUAUUUACAGAUUCCAUUUUGCUAUGCAAUAGAACUAUGGGGUCCAGAGAAGCAUCAAGGUCCAAGCUGUUUCGAUCUGUUCAACCCUCCUAAUAAUAGAUUAGACAUUGUUGUAUCAAAUCUGUACCCAUUGUAUGUAAAGUUUUUCAAGUACUUGUUGGAAUGGAAGGAGCGGACUCUUAAUCUAAAAGAAGAUAAAUCAGUGGACAUGGGAAACCUAGAGUGGGAAAAAUAUUCUAAUAAGAUAGUUUCUUUUAGAAAACAGGAAGAAAUGGUAAGGCUUUCAAUUAUUAUAAGAAUGUACAAACAGUAUUAUGUAUGCAUACUUUAAAGAAACAUCUUGUUAAAACUGAACUAAUAAGAUUUAACUAAAUAUGAAUGCUUCUUUCAGUGAAUUUGUUUAUUAAAUAGUGAUAAAAAUGGAAGAUAUAAUAUGAAUCUUUAUAUAUGUCAGUAUGUAGUAUUUGAAAUGUCUGCUUGUAUGUUGGUUAAAAGGGCCACUUUACAAGAGAACCUUUUACCCAUAGCCUACAAACUUCUAUUUAUGGGCUUGGAAAUGUCAAGGUCCUUUGUCCUUGAACUUUAAAACUGUUUCAACUAAAUUAAUAUGGAAACAUUUGGCCAAAACCUACAAAGUUCAUAGGAUCAUUUUCCAUAUAAAGUAGAAGCUGCUUAACCAGAUUGAUUGAGAAUUAAUUAGCCAUAGCCUUCAAAGUAAAUGCUAAAAGAUCUGGGCCACAGAGUGCUUGAAUUUGAAAACUGUUUCCCCUCGAUAACUAUUCAAUAAACUUUUUCUUUAAUAUAAUUCGGGUAUGAUACAGGUAUGAUCCACAGCAUUGUCGAUACCCACGACUGAACUAUUUCCUGGCCGAUAUCCAGUCGAUGAAAGGGGUGUCAAAGACAGUUAUUCCUUAUUCCUCUGGUAGCCUCACGAUUUUAUGAGGUGAUUAAAACCAUUCAAAUCCCUCAUUUAAUCCAAUUAAAUUUAGCUGUGAAAAGUUAUUAAAAAUGUGAACAAUUUUCAUCAAAAAAAGCAUAGAAAAUUUACUGCAUAGAAAAUUUACUGUAAAUAAUAGUUUCUACCUUUCCGUUGAAGAAUAUAAAUUUCGUUAAACACAAUUACAAAAUCUACUUCUACAGACCCACUAGGUCUAGAGCAAAGAUAUUUUGCAUAAGGCAUUUUCUGUUCAAAUAAGAAAAUCUUCUUGUCUGCGGGUACAACCAGGCCUAGAGCUUUCAUAUUUUAUAUAUAGUAUCAUCUACAGGUCUUUACCAAAGUUGUUCAAAUUUUGCCUCUUAGUAUCAACAUUGGCCAACCGUGGGGGUCAUAUGUUUACCUUAUAUAUAUAUAUAGUAAGAACUGGAAAAAAAUCUUCUUCUCUGAAUUGACAAAGAAUAGAGCAUAAAUAUAUGGCAUGAAAUAUUGUGUAGUGAACAUCUACCAAGAUUGUUCAAAUUAUAGCCCUGGGGUCAAAAUUUUUUCAUUACAUACAUUUUGUAGAAACUUAGAAAAUCUUCUUGUUUAAAGGUAUAAGGCAUAAAGCUUUAAUAUUAAGUAUAUAGUAUCAUCUACAGGUCAUCUACCAAAGUUGUUCAAAUUUUGCAUCUAGUGUCAAAAUUGGUCCUAGGUUUUCCUUAUAUGUACAUUGUAUAUAAGAAAAACUGGAAAAAAGUCUUCUUGUCCACAUGGACAAAGGUUAGAGGUUAGAUAUUUGGCAAGAAACUUUGUGUAGCGGACCUUUAUCAAGAUUCAAAUUAUACGCAUGGGGUCAAAAAUGCCCUCGCCCCAGGGGGUCAUUGAUUUUUAUUAUGCACAUAUUGUAAAAACAUAAAAAUCUUUUUGUCUAAAGCUUUGAUAUUUGGAAUAUGAUAUCAUCUAUAUUUCCUGUACCACAGCUGUUCAAAAUUUGCCUCUAGUUGCAAAUUGGCCGACUGCCGGAUCAUAGAUUUUCAUUACAAACAAUUAUAGCAUAAUCUUAUAGAAAUAUUAUCCUCUGAGGCUUAAAAGACUAGAGCUUAUAUAUUUUACAUAAAACAUUGUGAACCUCUACCAAGCAAGGACCUUUAUAGGAAUGGCCUCCAUCUGUCCAUCGUCUAUCUGUCUGUCUGUCCGUAACUCUUGUGUCUGCUCAUAACUUUUAAACCUCUGAAAAAAUUUUGAAAUAACUAUUUUGAACACUAUUUUUAGAUGAUGUGCAGAGCGCAAUAUUUGGGUUGCUAACCCCAAAGUCAAGGUCACAUUUAAAGGUCAAGUGUUAAAAGUCUACAUUUCGUGUCUGCUUCAUAACUUUUGAACUGCUGAACAUUUUUUUGAAAUUACUUGGCACAAGUGAUCAUCAUUAUGAGAAGAUUUGCAGAGCGCAAUAAUUUAGUUGCUAUCCCAAAGAUGAAGGUCACACUUAAAUGUCAAGUGUUUAAAAGCCUUCAUUUUGUGUCCGCUCCAUAACUUUUUGACUGCUGAAAAGAUUGAAAUAACGUGGCACAAGUAGUCACCCCAAAGGUCAGGGUCAAGGUCCAAUGUUAAAACAUCUUUUUUUUCAUGCCCGCUCUAUAACUUAUUGACAGUUCAAAGGUUUAUCAGUGUUCAAUCUAGAAUGAAUUCCCAGGGGGCCCUUUGGGCCCAUAAACUCAUCAACAGGGGGUCAUUUGAGAAAAAACGGGGCCCACACCUUAAAUGAACUUAAAAUUCAAAUAAGGUAUAAAAUUUUACCUUUUAACUUAUUUGUUACUUUAACUGAUAAUACGUACCUUAUAUCCACAAAAGAAAGUUGCAAAAAAUUGACUCAACUUAAAAUUAUUUAUCUUAUUACGGCCUUUUUAUAUGCCCGAAAGGGCAUAUUAUGUUAUACCCCCUGGCGUCCGUCUGUCUGUCCGUCCCUUCGUCCGUUAGCAAUUUGGUUUCCGGAGCAUAACUUAAGUACCAUUUGGCCCACAAUGUUCAAACUUCAUAGGAUGAUUGUCCAUAUUGGGUAGAAGACCCCUAUUGAUUUUGGGUCAAAAGGUCAAAGGUCAAGGUCACUAUUACCUUUAAACUGAAAACAGUUUCCAGAGCAUAACUUAAGUUCCAUUUGACCCAUAAUGUUCAAACUUCAUAGGAUGAUUGUCCUGAUUGGGUAGAAGACCCCUAUUGAUUUUGGGGUCACAAGGUUAAAAGUCAAGGUCACUAUUACCUUGAUACUGAAAACAGUUUCCGGAGCAUAACUUAAGUUCCAUUUGGCGCACAAUACUCAAACUUCAUAGGAUGAUUGUCCAUAUUAGGUAGAAGAACCCUAUUGAUUUUGGGGUCAAAAAAAUCAAAGGUCAAGGUCACUAUUACCUUAAAAUUGAAAACAGUUUCCGGAGCAUAACGUAAGUUCCAUUUGACCCACAAUAUUCAAACUUCAUAGAAUGAUUGUCCAUAUUGGGUAGAAGACCCCUAUUGAUUUUGGGGUCAAAAAAAUCAAAGGUCAAGGUCACUAUUACCUUAAAAUUGAAAACAGUUUCCGGAGCAUAACGUAAGUUCCAUUUGACCCACAAUAUUCAAACUUCAUUGAAUGAUUGUUCAUAUUGGGUAGAAGACCCCUAUUGAUUUUGGGGUCACAAGGUCAAAGGUCAAGGUCACUAUUACCUUAAUACUGAAAACAGUUUCCGGAGCAUAACUUAAGUUCCAUUUGGCCCACAAAAUUCAAACUUCAAAGGAUGAUUGUCCAUAUUGGGCAAAAGAUCCCUAUUGAUUUUGAGGUCACUAGGUAAAAGGUCAAGGUCACAAUUACCUUAAAACCAAAAACAGUUUCUAGAGCAUAACGUAAGUUCCAUUUGGCCCACUAUAUUCAAUCUUCAUAGGAUGAUUGUCCAUAUUGGGUAGAAGACCCCUAUUGAUUCUGGGAUCAAAAGGUCAAAGGUGAAGGUCACUAUUACCUUACAAUUGAAAACAGUUUCCGGAGCAUAACAUAAGUUCCAUUUGACCCACAAUAUUCAACGUCAUAGAAUGAUUGUCCAUAGUGGGUAGAAGACCCCUAUUGAUUUUGGGGUCACAAGGUCAAAGGUCAAGGUCACUAUUACCUUAAUACUGAAAACAGUUUCUGGAGCAUAACUUAAGUUCCAUUUGGCCCGCAAUAUUCAAACUUCAUAGGAUGAUUGUCCAUAUUGGGAAGAAGACCCCUAUUGAUUUUGUGUCACAAGGUCAAAGGUCAAAAUCACUUUUACCUUAAUACUGAAAAUAGUUUCUAGAGCAUAACUUAAAUUCCAUUUGGCCCACAAUAUUCAAACUUCAUAGUAUGAUUGUGCAUAUUGGAUAGAACACCCCUAUUGAUUUUGGGUCACAAGGUCAUACGUUAAGGUCAUUUUUUAUAACUUAAGUAUUAAUCAACCUACAGCUGUAAAAUUUUAUAGGAUUUACAGCUAAUUCCCAAAAAAAAAACACUUUCAGGCAUAUAAUGCUCCGCCUAGCGGUGCUCUUGUUUGAGAGCAUUUUUAAGAACUGAUUAGUAGAGAAACAAAGACAUAGUGUUUCAAGUAUAAAACUAUCAAAAAAUCAAUGACCCCCUGGGGCAAGGCCAUUUUUGACCCCAGGGCUAUAAUUAUACCCCCCGAAACGAAGUUUAGGGGUAUAUAGGAGUCACUCGGUGGUUGGUCGGUCCAGCGGUCCGUUGCAUUUUCCUUGUCCUGAGCAUAACUUGAAGACUAACAAUUGGAAUUCAAUACAACUUCAUACAAUGAUCAAGCACAUUGAGAGGAAGUGCAGUGCACAAGAACCAUAACUCUAUCUUGACUGAUUACAGAGUUAUUGCCCUUUGCUACUUUUCCUUGUCUGGAGCAUAACUUGAAAACUACUGAUUGGAAUUUAAAACAACUUCAUACAAUGGUCAAGCACAAUAAGAGGAAGUGCAGUGCACAAGAACCAUAACUCUAAUCUAAAGUAAUUUACAUAGUUAUUGCCCUUUGUUACUUUUCCAUUCCUAGUUUUGUCCGGACCAUAACUUGAAGACUAAUGGUUGGAAGUCAAUAUAACUUCAUACAAUGGUCAAGCACAUUUAGAGGAAUUGCAGUGCACAAGAACCAUAACUCUAUCUUGACUAAUUACAGAGUUAUUGCCCUUUGUUACUUUUCCUUGUCUGGAGCAUAACUUGAAAACUACUGGUUGGAAUUCAAAACAACUUCAUACAAUGGUCAAGCACAAUAAAAGGAAGUGCAGUGCACACGAACCAUAACUCUAUCUAAGGUAAUUACAGAGUUAUUGCCCUUUGUUACUUUUCCAUUGCUUUUUUUUUGUCCGGAGCAUAAUUUGAAGACUAAUGGUUGGAAUUCAAUACAACUUCAUACAAUGAUCAUUUAGAGGAAGUGCAGUGCACAGAAACCAUAACUUUUUCUUGACUCAUUUAAGAGUUUUUGCCCUUUGUUACUUUUUAUUGUCCAGUGCAUAACUUGAAAUUUAAUGAUUGGAAUUCAAUGAAACUUCAUACAAUGGUCAAGGGCAGUGAGAUGAAGUGCAGUGCACAAGAACCAUAGCACUAUUUGGACAAAUUACAGUUAUUGCCCUUUGUUACUUUUUUUUGUCCAGUGCAUAACUUGAAAACUAGUAGUUGGAAUUCAGUACAACUUCAUACAAUGGUAAAGGGCAAUGAGAGGAAGUGCAGUGUACAAUAAACAUAACUCCAUCUUCAGUAUUUGUAGAGUUAUUGCCCUUUGUUCUUUUUCCUUGUCUGGUGCAUAACUUAAAAACUAAUGUUAAAUGCAACUUAAUACAAUGGUCAAGUGCAAUGAGGGGAAGUGCAGUGCUCAAGAAGCGUAACUCUUUCUAGACUUAUUACAGAGUAAUUCAAUAAAACUUCAUCAAUAGUCAACCACAUUAAAAGGAAAUGCAACAUACAAGAACCACACCUAUCUUUAAUUGCCCACAACCAUAACUCUAUUUCAAUUUUUUUGCAAGGUAUUCUGUUACUAGUAACUAGUGAUUAGUAACUUCCUCAUUUCCAAAGCAGUCUUGCGGGGGUAUUAAUCACAUUUAGUGAAAGUUCUAGUUUGAACAAUUUUUGAAGAGUUUCAUUCGAUGAUGUUAAACACAACAUGUAUAAGCUCUAGGCCUUGCACUUUCAGAGGAUUAGAUUUUUAGCUCACCUGAGUCCGUCAUCAACUUUUUAUACAAACAACUUUUUCUCAGAAACCACUGAGCCAAAUGUGAUGAAAUUUUCCUGAGAUGUUCCUAGCAUGAAGCUCUACUAAAAGUGUUCAAAUUGUUCUGCUCAAUUGAACAUCUGGGUCAGGGCGCUAAAAAUAUAUUUUUGAAAUGAAAUCUUUAAAUAUUUUUUGUGGAGUAAGUGGUCUCUAGGGUCAAAGUCAAGGUCACUGGUUUAGAAAAUAAAUUUAAACAUUUUUGUUCAUACAGCCUUUAUUUUUUAGUUGAUGUCUUUCAUGUUUAAUACAAACAUGCCAAGGGAGGUCCUCCUUCUUUGGGUAUAGUAAGGGGUCAUUUUGGUCAAGGUCAAUGUCACCAAUGUCAAGGUCACCAAUGUUAAAAAUAGAUUUUUACAUUUUUACAGGUGUAUUAACCAUAUUCUAUAGACAGAUGUCAUUUAUAAUUGAUAGGAACAUAAAAUUUGAUGGAGUUAGUGGUCAGUUGGGUCAAGGUCACCAGUGCUAAAAAUAUAUUUUUACACUUUUGCUCAUACAGCUUUUAUUUAUUGACAGAUAUAUUUCAUGUUUGGUAGGAAGAUAACUUGCAUGGUAUUCAUCCUUUUGAUUGGGGUAGGGAUCAGUGGGUCAAGGUCACUUGUGCUAAAAAUAGAUUUUUACACUUUUGCCCAUACAGUCUUUAUUUAUUGACAGGUGUAUUUCAUAUUUGAUAGGAAGAUAACUUGCAUGGUAUUCUUCAUUUUGAUUGAGUUAGGGAUCAGUGUGUCAAGGUCACUAGUGCUAAAAAUUGAUUUUUACACUUUUGCCCAUACAGCCUUUAUUUAUUGACAGAUAUAUUUCAUGUUUGGUAGGAAGAUAACUUGCAUGUUAUUCUUACUUUAGAUUGAGUUAGGGGUCAGUUGGGUCAAGGUCGCUUGUGCUAAAAAUAGAUUUUUACACUUUUGCCCAUACAGCCUUUAUUUAUUGAGAGAUUUAUUUCAUAUUUGGUUGGAAGAUAACUUGCAUGGUAUUCUUCCUUUGGGUGGAGUUAGGGGUCAGUUUGGUCAAGGUCGCUUGUGCUAAAAAUAGAUUUUUACACUUUUGCCCAUACAGCCUUUAUUUAUUGACAGGUGUAUUUCAUAUUUGGUAGGACGAUAACUUGCAUGAUAUUCUAUAGGUGUCAGUUGAUAAAGUUGAAUAUUUAUCACUUCACAAGUCAUAGCAAUGACUUGGCAACUUAUAUAUUUCACAAUUACAAAAUGCCAUGACUCUGUCAAGCUAUAUAACUUGUUAGUCCCCUACCGGUUUACCGGAGGGGACUUUAGGUUUACCCUCAGUCCGUCUGUCAGUCCGUCC